rnacentral:sRNA from 1 species
UAGCAAUUAUAAAAUUUGGUGAGCCAC